AGACACAAUCACUGUCAUUUUUUUUUUUUUUUUCAGAGAGGCAUGAUGGCCUCUGCUUGGAGUAUGGACGCUCUUUUAUAUCCAAGAGCUCGUCUUUCGUAUAGCGAUGGGGGGAUUUGGAGGUGGGCAGUUUCUUCAGGUCAAGAAAAGCAUCUCCAUUUUCUGUUUCAUCCACACUUCUCUUCUUCAUGGCUUCUUGGUAUACAUUUUUUUUUGCACCUUUAAUUAUCUUUAAUACAAAGGGAAACCAAAAUAGUCACUGCCACCCACGAGAAUUGGCCAGGCAGUGGUGGUGGUGGUGAAGUUUCCUGGAAUAGAGGUAGGACUAGUUGGGCUGCUGGAAAGUGCCUGUCACUUAUGAACGGAUCGCACCAGCUACUCUACUCCUUUACCCCAGUGUAAGGGGCUGGGAAACUGAGUGUACCUCUCUCAGUCGACCACACUUGCGGCCACUGGUCAUCUCUGGGAAACUCUGCUCCUUAAACGAACCCCUAGUCCCUCACCCAGACCCCGGGUUAGAGGCUCCUCCGGAAGUAGGGCAGGGACUGUACUUACCGAGGGAGGCGGGCCAUAGGCCGCCCACGAGCUUCUGCUCCCCACCUCCCGCGCGCCCUGCUGCCCGUGCCUGCGCUUCUGGGGCAGCGCGCCUGUGCUUGCACUCUGGCCAGGGCCCAAGCUUGCGGUACCCUUGCUCCGAGCGCCCGCGGACGGCGUCCCUGCGCCUCUGUCACCGUGUCCCCUGAUGCCUGCUCCAAUGUCAAAUUGUGUCUCUUCUCUUUUGAAAGAAGAUAAUGUUUUAUGGUUAAAGGGGCACAUAUCCAAUAGAUCUCAUAUCGCUUACUGCUUUCUCCUCCAGGGGAGAAUCUUGUGACAUGGGUGGAGGGAAUUCCAAACCCAUGGAAAUCAUUUCCAGUCUCAAACAAGCUUAAGUGAGUCAAGGAGAGACUAACAGGCACUUAAUGAAAACUUGAGUGAUCAGUUUGCCUGGAAGACACAGCUCCCCUGGGUGUUAGGUCCGAUGCUGAUGGGAUGAGGAAGUAGAACGAGGAAGUGCAGAAGCUGUUGAGUAGAUAAUUUCUAGGCUGGUGUGCCAGUUAUUUUUCUGUUGCUGAGGUGAUAUAUCAUAGGGAAAGCAAUUUAUAAAAAGUGUUUAAUUUGGCUUAAGGUUUCAAAGGGUUAGAGUCCAUGAUGGGGUUCAGAGGCAGUGACUAAAAAGCUGAGAGCUCAUGUCUUGAUCUACAAUCAUAAGGAUGAGAAUGCACAUGUAAAUGAGCACUGGGAUUAGCACAAGUCUUUUGAAACCUCAAAGCCUUCCCUCAACACCUCCUCCAACAAGGCUACGCCUCUAAUCUUUCCCAGUCCGUCCCACCAAAUGGGGACUAAAUAUUGAACUAUAUGAGCCUAUGGGGUCAUUCUUAUCCAAACCACCACAGCUAGUGUGCAUGCCCAUGUGUGUGUAAUGCUUGUCUUAUCCCUGUGUUUCAAUAUAUGUGUGCUUGAGUGUUUCUAGAGGACUCUCACAUGCUUGCUGUAACAUUGACCAGCAAAUGAACAAAAAAGCUGAAUCUUGUUAAAUAAAAUCACCCCAAUAUUGGUGUCUUAUAGUUAAACCCAUCUUGUCUACAUCUAUGCUGCUUACAAAAAGGGUAGUAGUCAUACAACUGUGAUGACUGACAGUUUUCUCCUACAGCCCUGAGAUGCAACAGAGUAUCACGGGUGUGUUCUUUGUCAGCCUGUGGUAUAUUUGAGGGUCUGAAAUGCAAGCAUUCAUAUGCACAUGUGAGCAGGUGGGUGCUUGUGCAUAUGUGCAUCUAUAUGCAAGGGUCCUUCUGCCAUAUUGGCGAGACAUUGAAGCCACCACACAGAGAGAAGUGACUCUUUAGCCAUUUGAAGAUAAAGAAGGGUUCAGGUGGAUGCAGCCUUUGCCUUUGUGAGUACACUGAUGAUUCUGGGGUGGAUGGUACUUCUUUGUGCAAAAGGGACCUAGAAUGCAUGGGGAGGAAGUGCUGAGUUACCAACUUGGGUCGGGGUGGAAGGGUGGUCUCUAAAUGAAUGUAUUAUUCUUCUACCUUCUAAGAGUCGCUCUGCCUGACACCCACCCCCUCUGUCUGAUUAGUACUCUCUGCUUAUUCCACUGAAAGAAAAACUGGUUAGGUUGCAGGCUUGGAGAUUAUUUGGAACCUGUCAUAUGACAGGUAGAGAUGUUCCUGACCACCCUAAACAUUUCAAAAAGGGAAUACAUUAAUGUAAUUUUUUCUUUUAGAGAUGAUCAUAACUGUCCUAUCUUACUCUGUCUGAAUAGUUGAUCUUGGUUGGUAACUAGGUGGGUGUAUAGUUGUUGGGAAGCAUCUGCAAGCAGGUACAGUACCAAUAGUAACCACUAUGAGUGCUGUGGCAACAUAUCUUUCUCAUUUACUGAGAUAUGCUAGGCAGUAGCCAACCCAGGCCUGGUAUCCUAGACUUUAUCCCAAAGCAGCUUCAUAUUGCUUGUCCUCUCAAGGCUGUGUUCUUCUUGUCUUAGAGCAGGAAAAACUAAACUGUGUAGCUUUUGCAGAAGGUCAGCUAUCUGUGGACAUGAGUGUGGGCUUUGUAGAUUGUGUGUGUGUGGUGUGCGAUUGAAAGUAUGUAUUAGGGCUCUCUAGGAAUAAAGAGUGAUAAAAUGAGAAAAAUCUCUCUCUCUCUCUCUCUCUCUCUCACACACACACACACACCCAUAAGAUGUAUUAGAGUGAUUUAUAGGUUGUCAUCCAGCUAAAUCCAACAAUGACUGCCAAUUGAUAAGAAAGGGCAGAACAUUUGGUGGUAGUUCAGUCCACAAGGAUGGGAUAUCCUGGCUGGCUUUCAGUGUUGGAAUCCUAAAGAAGUAGGUUCUAGCUGGGCAGUGGUGUCACACGCCUUUAAUCCCAGCACUCGGGAGGCAGAGGCAGGCGGAUUUCUGAGUUCGAGGCCAGCCUGGUCUACAGAGUGAGUUCCAGGACAGCCUGGGCUACACGGAGAAACCCUGUCUUGAAAAACCAAAAAACCAAAACCAACAAAACAAUAACAACAAAAAAGGAGGUUCUAAUACUAGUAAAGGAAUGCUCUGGUAAUAGAUGAGCUUGGCAGAGUGUGAGGGCCAGGAGGAAAGGGCAAAGCUUUUUUUCUUCCAUGUCCUUUUGUGUAGACUGCCACCAAAAGAUGUGGCCCAGAUUUACGGUGGGUCUUCUUACUUCAAAUGAUACAAUCAAGAAAAUCCUUCCCAGGCAUGUCCAGAUGCUUGGAUUUUAGUUGACUCCACUGCUGUCAAUUUAGGAUUACUAAGAUUAGCUCUCACAGGUGCAAAGCUCAAUCCUCCGUGGCUUUAGAGUGGUCACUCUAACUGUAUAGAUGUUCACUAAGAUGUGCAGUUUGUCACUUGGAAAUGUUUGAGUGUCUACUUUAAUCUAGCUUUGUGUAUUUUAUUUGUGAACUUGUUCCAACAAAGUGAUUAAAUUUAAUAAAGGAAUGAAACUUAGUGAUUUAGC
ensembl:lincRNA Gm26601 predicted gene, 26601